UCUUACGUCUACAAAGUCAGUGUAGUAGAACUUUUGCGGUACAAUAAUAGUUUGGAAUUAUUGUGUAGCCAGUGGCGGAUUAUGACGCGUGUUUUGUAAUACAUACAGUACUGUAAAGUGAAACGAGGUCAUUUUGUUGUGUACUUUGGUCAACGGAAGAGAAAGAUGGAGUCCCUUAGAAAAGGAAAAGGAGACUGAUGGGAUUUCGUUUUAAAGGAACUAGAGUCUGAAGCUAACCUGAUACCUACGAGAGUUCUGAGCAGAGAAAAAGUACUACUACAGAAAAAGAGAUCUUGCUAAAGCUCACCCGACGCGGUAUUUAAGUUUGAUUAUAAAUGGCAUGGACCAGUCAAAGACCAACUUGCCACAUUUUGUAGGGAGAACAGCCAAGGGUGGAACGUUGCCUCCAGUAUUGUAUAUUCAAGCCGACAACUGCUGGCGGGAAAAUAAUAUUAAAUCGUUUUGCGAGUUACUGGU